rnacentral:sRNA from 1 species
CUUCUUGCUACACCCUCACGACUAAUGACAAUACUCACACCUUUAAGCACUCUCAUUAGCCGCGCGAGUCACUGUAGCGGAAGAGGUUUACAUUUUAGAAAUGGUAGAAAUCGCCUUUAAAUCUCUCCAUUCCGUUUCCUAGAAGAAAAGGGGCCAUAGGCCCCUUUCC